AGGGCACCACCAGGAGUGGAGCCUGCGGCUUAAUUUGACUCAACACGGGAAAUCUCACCAGGCCCGGACACCGGAAGGAUUGACAGAUUGAGAGCUCUUUCUUGAUUCGGUGGGUGGUGGUGCAUGGCCGUUCUUAGUUGGUGGAGCGAUUUGUCUGGUUAAUUCCGAUAACGAACGAGACUCUGGCCUACUAACUAGACGAUAUAUCCUUUAUGGGUUUAUCGCAGCUUCUUAGAGGGACGGGCGGCGUUUAGCCGCACGAGAAUGAGCAAUAACAGGUCUGUGAUGCCCUUAGAUGUUCUGGGCUGCACGCGCGCUACACUGAAGAAAUCAGCGUGUGCUCCCUACCCGAAAGGGUUGGGAAACCCGUUGAACCUUCUUCGUGAUGGGGAUUGGAGAUUGCAAUUAUUCUCCAUGAACGAGGAAUUCCCAGUAGGCGCGAGUCAUAAGCUUGCGUCGAUUACGUCCCUGCCCUUUGUACACACCGCCCGUCGCUACUACCGAUUGAGUGAUUUAGUG
rnacentral:rRNA from 1 species